rnacentral:rRNA from 1 species
AUGGCUUCCAAGAUCGCCGCCACGGCGGCGAAGGUGCCAGCGAAGACGAAGGGCCAGUGCAUCUGCUCGCCCACCGACCACCCUGGCUCCUUCCGGUGCCGGCUCCACCGCGCCAGCGGUAUGCCCAGGUCGAUCUCGUGCCAGCAGUUCGGUGACCCCCACACGGCGAGCUCGCCGCUGGUCUCCUCCGGCCACAUGCCAAGGUCGGCAUCUCAGCAGCAGUUCACGGCUCCUUCCGGCUCCGGCAUUUUGAGAUCGGCGUCCCAACAGCAGCUCCCGCGCUCCCUCGGUGUGCCAAGAUCGGCAUCGUGGCAAGAUUCUGCUCACGAGAAUUGA